AUUGAACGCUGGCGGCAUGCUUUACACAUGCAAGUCGAACGGCAGCGCGGGCUUCGGCCUGGCGGCGAGUGGCGAACGGGUGAGUAAUGCAUCGGAACGUGCCCAGUAGUGGGGGAUAGCCCGGCGAAAGCCGGAUUAAUACCGCAUACGACCUGAGGGUGAAAGCGGGGGACCGAAAGGCCUCGCGCUCUUGGAGCGGCCGAUGUCGGAUUAGCUAGUUGGUGGGGUAAAGGCUUACCAAGGCGACGAUCCGUAGCUGGUCUGAGAGGACGACCAGCCACACUGGGACUGAGACACGGCCCAGACUCCUAAGGGAGGCAGCAGUGGGGAAUUUUGGACAAUGGGGGCAAACCUGAUCCAGACAAGCCGCGUGGGGGAAGAAGGCCUUCGGGUUGUAAAACGCUUUUGUUCGGGAAGAAAUCCUCUGGGCUAAUACCCCGGGGGGAUGACGGUACCGGAAGAAUAAGCACCGGCUAACUACGUG
rnacentral:rRNA from 1 species